ensembl:lncRNA
AUGUGCUGGUAUUGAACAUGUUGUGGAUAUGUGGUGGUAUUGAACAUGUUGUGUUGUGGAUAUGUGGUGGUAUUGAACAUGUUGUGUUGUGGAUAUGUGAUGGUAUUGGACAUGUUGUGGUAUUGAACAUGUUGUGGAUAUGUGGUGGUAUUGAACAUGUUGUGGAUAUGUGGUGGUAUUGAACAUGUUGUGUUGUGGAUAUGUGGUAGUAUUGAACAUGUUGUGGAUAUGUGGUGGUAUUGAACAUGUUGUGGAUAUGUGGUGGUAUUGAACAUGUUGUGGAUGUGUUGUGGUAUUAAACAUGUUGUGUUGUGGAUAUGUGGUGGUAUUGAACAUGUUGUGAUGUGGAUAUGUGGGGGUAUUGAACAUGUUGUGGAUAUGUGGGGGUAUUGAACAUGUUGUGUUGUGGAUGUGUGGGUAUUGAACAUGUUGUGGAUAUGUGGUGGUAUUGAACAUGUUGUGGAUAUGUGGAGGUAUUGAACAUGUUGUGGAUAUGUGGUGGUAUUGAACAUGUUGUGUUGUUGAUAUGUGGUGGUAUUGAACAUGUUGUGUUGUGGAUAUGUGGAGGUAUUGAACAUGUUGUGGAUAUGUGGUGGUAUUGAACAUGUUGUGGGUAUGUGGUGGUAUUGAACAUGUUGUGGAUAUGUGGAAGUAUUGAACAUGUUGUGGAUGUGUUGUGGUAUUAAACAUGUUGUGUUGUGGAUAUGUGGAGGUAUUGAACAUGUUGUGGAUAUGUGGUGGUAUUGAACAUGUUGAGGUAUUGAACAUGUUGUGGAUAUGUGGUGUUAUUGAACAUGUGGAUAUGUGGUGGUAUUGAACACGUUGUGGAUAUGUGGUGAUAUUGAACAUGUUGUGGGUAUGUUGAGGUAUUGAACAUGUUGUGGAUAUGUGGUGGUAUUGAACAUGUUGUGGAUAUGUGGUGGUAUUGAACAUGUUGUGUUGUGGAUAUGUGCUGGUAUUGAAGAUGUUGUGGUAUUAAACAUGUUGUGUUGUGGAUAUGUGGUGGCAUUGAACAUGUAGUGGAUAUGUGGUGGUAUUGAACAUGUUGUGGAUAUGUGGUGGUAUUGAACAUGUUGUGGAUAUGUGGUGGUAUUGAACAUGUUGUGGAUAUGUUGUGGUACUAAACAUGUGUUGUGGAUAUGUGGUGGUAUUGAUUAUGUUAUGGAUAUGUUGUGGAUAUGUUGUGGUAUUAAACAUGUUGUGCUGUGGAUAUGUGGUGGUAUUGAUUAUGUUGUGGAAAUGUGGUGGCAUUGAACAUGUAGUGGAUAUGUGGUGGUAUUGAACAUGUUGUGGAUAUGUGGUGGUAUUGAACAUGUUGUGUUGUGGAUAUGUGGAGGUAUUGAACAUGUUGUGGAUAUGUGGAGGUAUUGAACAUGUUGUGGAUACGUGGUGGUAUUGAACAUGUUGUGGAUAUGUGGUGGUAUUGAACAUGUGGAUAUGUGGUGGUAUUGAACAUGUUGUGGAUAUGUGGUGGUAUUGAACAUGUUGUGGAUAUGUGGUGGUAUUGAACAUGUUGUGGAUAUGUGGUGGUAUUGAACAUGUUGUGGAUAUGUGGUGGUAUUAAACAUGUUGUGCUGUGGAUAUGUGGUGGUAUUGAUUAGGUUGUGGAUAUGUGGUGGCAUUGAACAUGUUGUGGAUAUGUGGUGGCAUUGAACAUGUUGUGGAUAUGUGGUGGUAUUGAACAUGUUGUGGAUAUGUGGUGGUAUUGAACAUGUGGAUAUGUUGUGGUAUUAAACAUGUUGUGUUGUGGAUAUGCGGUUGUAUUGAACAUUUUGUGGUAUUGAACAUGUUGUGGAUAUGUGGUGGUAUUGAACAUGUUGUG